rnacentral:rRNA from 1 species
UACGGAGGGUGCGAGCGUUGAUCGGAAUUAUUGGGCGUAAAGCGCGUGCAGGCGGUUUUUUAAGUCUGAUGUGAAAGCCCUGGGCUCAACCUGGGAAGUGCAUUUGAAACUGGGAGACUUGAAUACGGGAGAGGGGAGUGGAAUUCCAGGUGUAGGGGUGAAAUCCGUAGAUAUCAGGAGGAACACCGGUGGCGAAGGCGGCUGCCUGGACAGAUAUUGACGCUCAGACGCGAAAGCGUGGGGAGCAAACAGG